UUUUUCUCACUGACUUCCUUUCUGAGCAUUGGUGGCAAUUCAUGAAUUCACAUGAGAAGAGACAGUUUUCAGAACUAACAUUACAUUGCUUUUUUCCUUGCAGAGGCAUAUUGGCAUGCUUUAUGAGACAUUC
rnacentral:snoRNA from 1 species